rnacentral:lncRNA from 1 species
ACACAAGAUUUGUUAACCCGGACUUCGUUUCCUACUGUCCGGGGAGGGAGCUUCGCCCUCAACGAUUCACUAAAGCCAAUAUAGAGUUCCGGUAACAGUUACACAGCUGAUAUCUCAACACAACAGAGAAGAUACAGUUUCGUUACCUCCGAAAUACACUCAAGGUAAUCGGAACCUUCUAUACGACGUCACCGGAGCUACUCCUGCUCCAGUCUCUGAUCAAUCGCACAAGGUAGAUUUCUCUUCUGCGAAUCGCUCUCUCCAGUCUCAGUUUCAGGAUGAUCGCAUGACGAAGAUAAAGUGGUCGUUAGGCCGUUAGACCUUUUGUCAUCACGUGACCUGACUUGGGCUUCUCAUCUCAUAUUCAAGCCCAGCUCGUCGGCCCAUUAGAAGAAGUCAGAAGUCCUCAAAGGCAAAGCCCACAAAUCUCCACCUCUUUUGACUUCAGACAUGUCGACGAGACCCUAACACUGUCGAUCUCUUCUCUCUUGUCGCCGAUUAACCUCAAUCCUAUCUCCUCCUGUCAUCGAUAUUCUUAGACCUCGAUCGUCAAUCAGCUUCUCCAUCAUCUCUUCUGAAACUGACCCGAAACAGCUCUCUCUUCAAAAGAAGCGAUCUCAGCUGUAACAUCUGACCCUGAAAAAAAACUGGGUGCUUUCCUAGCAAACCCUCUCUUUCUCCCUUAGUACUCCACCUGAGACAAGUAUCCCUUUGAGAAACAAUUUGACCUCCUGAUGAAACAACCAGAUGUAUCAACCAGAUAUCCUUCAGAGAUCACUUAUGACCUCCUUUACUCUACGGGUAACUCCUCUCCCUUAUUGUCUGAACUUCGUGAAUACUCCUUUUUUUUCAGACUUUACAGAAACUAACCACUCAGUUCUUCUUUGUUUAUGUAUGUGUGAAACACCAUUUGGAGCUACCCGGAGCCGCUCGUCUACUUCAGCAGACAUUCAGAAACUCACAGCAAAACUCAAACUUCGUGCCAGGUAAACACUUAGUUAGAAAAUCUGCCGGAUUCUUAGAAGUAUGUAUCUUCGCUAGGUUGACCACCCGCUUAGAUACGAUGUCCCUGAUGAAAUUGAACUGAGUAUCCAUGUGUUUAGUUCUCUCGUGAUGCACUGCAUUUUUAGAUAAAGCAAUUGCACUCUGUGAAUCACAGUGUAUCCUUACAUUGUCUUGUUUGUAGCCUAGUUCACUUACAAAAUUCCUUAGCCAAAUAGCUUCUUUGACUGCUAGAGUUAAAGCCAUGUAUUCUGCUUCAGUAGUAGAUAACGCCACUACUGACUGUAGUCCUGACUUCCAGGACACAGUGUUUCUUCCAACUUGAAAAACUAUUCCAGAAACUGAUCUCCUCUUAUCUAGAUCUGCGGAAUAAUCUGAAUCAGAAAACCCUUCAACCCUGAACUCUGUAGAUUUCUUAAACAUCAAACACUUCUCAUAAGAUUUCUUAAACAUCAAACACUUCUCAUAACUCCCGGCCACAUAUCUUAAAACCCAUUUCACAGCUUCCCAGUGUGCUCUACUCGGGUGAGACAUGAAUCGGCUGACCAGUCCCACAGCAAAACCCAAAUCAGGACGUGAUCCGACCAUGGCGUACAUCAGACUCCCUACAGCACUUGCGUAGGGCACAUCUUUCAUAUACCCAUAUUCCUCAUCUCGCUCUUUUGGAUGUAAACUCUUAAGUUUGAAAUGCGAAGCUGUUGGUGUAACAACUGAUAUAGCUUCGAACAUUCCAAACGUCUUGAGUACCUUCUCCAAAUACUUCGCUUGUGACAACUUAAGCGUUCCUUCAUUUCUAUCUCGUGUGAUAUCCAUGCUGAGGAUUCUCGAAGCUCUUCCUAGAUCCUUCAUCUCAAACUCUGAGAACAAACUAUUCUUCAAUUCCUUAAUUUCUGUUUUACUCCCUGAGGCAAUGAGCAUGUCGUCAACAUAUAACAACAAGUCGAUAGCUUUAUCCGAGCUCACAUUCUUCAUGUAUACACACGAGUCGUAUUCACUCCUUAUAAACUUCUGCUUCAUCAUAAAACCAUCAAACUUCAAAUUCCAUUGUCUCGGUGAUUGCUUGAGACCAUAUAAUGACUUUCUCAGCAAACAAACUUUAUUCUCAUCACCUUUCUUCACAAAACCUUCUGGCUGCUCCAUGAGAAUUCUCUCAUCUAAAUCCCCAUGUAGAAAAGCCGUUUUAACAUCCAUUUGCUCUAGCUCAUAGUCAAAAUUCACCACCAGAGAUAGUAUAAGGCGAAUAGAGACAUGCUUAACCACUGGAGAGAAAAUUUCAUUGUAGUCUAUGCCUUCCUUUUGGGAAUAACCCUUAGCUACAACUCGUCCUUUGAAUCUUGGAUCUUCAACUCCUGGAAUACCAGGCUUCAAUUUGAAAAUCCAACGACACCCCACAAGUUUCUGAUCUUUGGGUCUCUCAAUAAGGUCCCAUGUUCUGUUCUUAUCCAGAGACACCAUUUCUUCUUUUGCAGCAGCAUUCCAAAAUUUUCUCUCCUUUGUCUUCAUAGCUUCUGCAUAAGUCCUUGGUUCUUCGACUUCUAUUUCUUCUGCUGCAUUUAAUGCAUAAGCCACCAGAUUUGCAUCAUCAAAUCUCGAAGGUGGUCUGAUGUUUUGACGUCUGUUUCUAUCACGAGCUAAGACAUAAUUGUCCAGUGAAGGGUCUCCUGAACUGACCACAAUACCACCAUCCUGAUCCGACUCUGAUUCUUCAUCUGAAGUAUCUAACUCGUGUGAGCUCUCCUCAUCUGAUUCUUCUGUUAAAACUCCACCUGAACCUGAUGUCUCUCCUACCUCAGUGAUUGUCGUUGAAGGUCCCUGAAUCAAUUCAUCAUUGAAGCUCACACGUUUACCUUUUUUCUUACCAACAUCCUUUUCCUUGACGCCAGAUGAUGAAUCAGAUAAGGUAUCUUUGAAAACUUCUUGCUCAUGAAACACAACAUCUCGACUUGUAGUACAUUUUCCACCAUUCUCAAUCCAUAUUCUGUAGCCUUUUACCCCGAAAGGGUAACCCACAAAAACACCUUUCACUGCUCUCGGACUGAUCUUCUCUUGCACUCGAUGUACAUAAGCAGAACACCCAAACUUCCUGAGAUGUGACAAAUCAACUUUGCCACCUGACCACCUUUCUUCUGGCAGCUCAAAGCCAAUGCUUGAUCCAGGUGUUCUAUUGAUCAAAUAAACAGCUGUUGAGGUAGCUUCUGCCCAGAAUUCAGGUCCUAGUCCAGUCUCAGCUAACAUGCUCCUUACCUUGUCCAUAAUGGUUCUAUUCAUUCUUUCAGAAACACCAUUUUGCUGCGGUGUAUAAGUGCAAGUACGAUGUCUCUUCACCCCUGAAUCCUUGCACAGUUUAUCAAAUUUGUAGUUGCAGAACUCUAGACCAUUAUCCGUCCUUAGACACUUAAGCUUCUUGCCAGCUUGAUUCUCAACUUCAAGCUUCCAAUCUCUGAAUUUAUCAAAAGCUUCAUCCUUAGUCUUGAGAAAAUAAACCCACACUUUCUUUGAGUAGUCGUCUAUAAAACUAACAAAAUAUUUGCAUCCUCCAAGACUUUCUGGGGUUGAAGGAGAUCCCCAAAGAUCAGAGUGCACAUAAUCCAAAAUACCUUUUGUGAUAUGUUUAGCCUUUGGAAAACUUUGCUUAUGCGCCUUCCCUAACGCACAACUCUCACAAAACUCCAAUCCUUCAACCUCUUUAAUUUGCAAAUACCCCUUCUUGAUCAACACAUUCAUGUUAGACAGGCUCAUGUGUCCAAGUCUUGAGUGCCACAAGUCUGUCAUGUUUGUCUCAACUUUUCCAAUGUUAGCUUCAGCUCUUGAAACAGUGCCUUGUAGAUAGUACAAUCCAUCUUCAUAAUUUCCUGAGAAAACCUUAACACCAUUCUUGAAGAAGUCAAUUCUGAAGCCUUCACCCUUGUAGGUACAACCCGCUUUCUCUAACAUACCGUAUGAGAUAAGAUUCCUACUCAUCUUAGGCAUGUAUCGAACAUCAGUGAGAACAACUUCUUUUCCAUCUGAGUUAACAAUCUUGAUCUUUCCAAUUCCCUCAACAUCGCACUGAGUAUUAUUUGCCAUUAAAACCUUUCCUCCAUUCACCUUCUUGAAGUCAAAUAACACAUUCCUCUGUGGUGUUAUAUGAAAAGAACAUCCUGAGUCAAGCACCCAAUCAUCCUUAGUAUCUUGUGUACUGACUGUUAAGACCAAAGGUUGUUGUCUUGAUGCUGAGACUGUGUUAACCGAGUCACCAGAACCCUGUUGUCUGUUGUUUCUCUGUGGACACUCUAGUUUCCAGUGAUCAUCUUUGCCACAUAUGAAACACGCAGUCUUGCCAUCCUUGUUAGCUCUAGGCUUGGACUUUGAUCUCUGGUCCCUUGACUUUGAUCUUCCUCUGUAAGAUUGACUGUUACCUUUGUCAACCCUCUUGUUGGACCUUCCUCGUGACUCAACAUAUAAUCCUUCGGAACUAGACUUUUCUUUACUCACCAAACCUUUCUGCUUUAACUCAAUCUCCUUAGCAUAAGCAGACGUAGUUACUUCCCUCACAGUAAGAGUAUCCUUGCCAGUUCCAUACUUCAGUGUAUGAACUAAAGCCUCAUAUUGUGGUGGAAGACUUGUCAGUAGCUGUAUCGCUUGGUCUUCAUCAUCAACAUUGAUGUUGAGACUAGCUAGAUCUCCAAUCAUCUUGAGAAACACAUCCAUAUUCUCUUCAAUGCUUUUACCUUCUUCCAUCUUGAAACUUGCAAACUGUUACUUUAGAUAGAUCCGGUUAGGCAAUGUCUUAGUUUGAUAGUCAUGCUCAAGUGCCUUCCACAUACCAAGAGCUGUUGCCUCAUGCAUAACCUUUCUCAAGAUCAUAUCGCUUAGACACGUUCCCAUCAGGUUUUUCACUCGCGUGUCCUUAGCAACCUUGACUAGAUCCAAGAUUGGAUCAGCUCCUUCUUCAAGCUUCUCAGAAUCUUUGUAAAGAGUAGCAUUCUCAUCAAGCGCAGAUGCUAGUCCCUGUAUCUCUAGCUGACCAAGCAGUUUAUACUUCCACAUCCCAAAGUCUCCUUUUCCAUCAAACUUGUCCAUCUCGAAACGACCCCGUGUGGGAUCAAUCUCGACACGACUCGUUAUAGAGUCCAUCUUGAUCGAUCUCCUUCAGAUCCUCAAUCACAACACUUAAGCGUAACCUGAAGGCUCUGAUACACUUGUUAAUUUGCUUCCUAUAGAUCGUUCGCUUUGCUUUCGUGAUUAGAUUCUGAUGAUCGAUUGAUUUGCAGAAAUGAAAUAAGCGUAAAUCAAGAUCACACACAAGAUUUGUUAACCCGGACUUCGUUUCCUACUGUCCGGGGAGGGACCUUCGCCCUCAACGAUUCACUAAAGCCAAUAUAGAGUUCCGGUAACAGUUACACAGCUGAUAUCUCAACACAACGGAGAAGAUACAGUUCCGUUACCUCCGAAAUACACUCAAGGUAAUCGGAACCUUCUAUACGAUGUCACCGGAGCUACUCCUGCUCCAGUCUCUGAUCAAUCGCACAAGGUAGAUUUCUCUUCUGCGAAUCGCUCUCUCCAGUCUCAGUUUCAGGAUUAUCACAUGACGAAGAUAAAGUGCCGUUAGACCUUUUGUCAUCACGUGACCUGACUUGGGCUUCUCAUCUCAUAUUCAAGCCCAGCUCGUCGGCCCAUUAGAAGAAGACAGAAGUCCUCAAAGGCAAAGCCCACAUACUCUUUCCUAAUUUUCAUCACUAAUCCUUAAUUUGUUCAAUUAUAAACGGGUUGCAUAAUACUCAAAAUCUCACUCUUCACCAGAUCCAACCCUUCUGAUUCAUUACACAUACGGUAGUAACGCAUCUUCUGCGUUUCUGGGAAGUAUGAAAUUGUUUAAACUUUGUAUUCCAUAUCUGCCUGCUGACGUAGGUUUACCUUCUUUUCUAAACGAAUUUGUUCUUUUAUUUCUCUGAAGCUCAAUUAAAUUUUUGUUUUUUUUCUCCUGUUGAACCUCCAUCUUUCUCAGGAGACGAAGAGUACCAUAACAAUAUGUGGGGCCAUACACGGAUGCCUACCCUUCUGCGGUCUACUCAAACCAGUAUGACCUCAGCAGAUUCCAUGUUGCACAACAGAGAGGAUAUGGUGUAGCCUCAGAAUAUUUCCCGGAGAAAGAAAAGUAUUUACGAUCCAACUCAUGGGAUUUGCUUUUGGAGAGCCCUCUAGCGAGUAGCCUAACCGAUAAUGAUUUUUCUUAAAAUGGUAGUCGUAUAUCUGCUUAUAACAUAUCUUUUUGUAAAUCAUGUUGUUAGUUUGGUUCAAAGAUGCUUAUGGCACUCAACUGGAAACUUGGUGAAAAAGUUUGUAGUGUUUUUUUUUUUAAAACAUCCGGGAUAUAUCUGAUCCAUAUUCAACUAUAUCUCAGGGUUUAGCUCAAGUUUUGCAUCAAAAGGGGCUUUCUUAUGUUUCGUGAGAAGCAUCAUGAGCUCCAGUUUUGAGGUUGAUGGUUUUUGUCUAAUCUUUGACAAAGUCUUGUGCUUACUUUUUUGUUUGUUUGUUUUUUGCAGUCUUAUCAAGAAUACGUUGAAAUCCACAGCAGAUGCAUGAGACAACUUGGUCUUCCUGUCAGUAUGUUUUAUCCAUCACUGUUAUCCAUCCACUCUUCUAAAUCUAUGGUUUGACCUGAUGAUAGUAGUCAACUUACUUUCUUACAAUGUUUGUAGGCUUUGUCAUGUUUUUUUUUUUGAGUCCAUCUUGAUCGAUCUCCUUCAGAUCCUCAAUCACAACACUUAAGCGUAACCUGAAGGCUCUGAUACACUUGUUAAUUUGCUUCCUAUAGAUCGUUCGCUUUGCUUUCGUGAUUAGAUUCUGAUGAUCGAUUGAUUUGCAGAAAUGAAAUAAGCGUAAAUCAAGAUCACACACAAGAUUUGUUAACCCGGACUUCGUUUCCUACUGUCCGGGGAGGGACCUUCGCCCUCAACGAUUCACUAAAGCCAAUAUAGAGUUCCGGUAACAGUUACACAGCUGAUAUCUCAACACAACGGAGAAGAUACAGUUCCGUUACCUCCGAAAUACACUCAAGGUAAUCGGAACCUUCUAUACGAUGUCACCGGAGCUACUCCUGCUCCAGUCUCUGAUCAAUCGCACAAGGUAGAUUUCUCUUCUGCGAAUCGCUCUCUCCAGUCUCAGUUUCAGGAUUAUCACAUGACGAAGAUAAAGUGCCGUUAGACCUUUUGUCAUCACGUGACCUGACUUGGGCUUCUCA